UUGCACCACACUUUCUCCCCAUUUCAUGAAAAUUCCGACCGUUGAGCCAAUUGGGUAGACCCCCGUGCAGAGCUUCAGUAGAACGUUUAGCUAUCCGAAAUGGUAAGAGUUCCGAGUUUGCUCCCCUGUGUUUGAUAGUGUAUGCAAGUGAACAACAAGUGCAAGUUGUGAGCAAAUAAUAGUCAAACGGUUGCCGCCACCUUACUCAUGCUUCAGAACAAGAAAAAACCCCCGUC
rnacentral:lncRNA from 1 species